rfam:Felis catus isolate Cinnamon breed Abyssinian chromosome E2, whole genome shotgun sequence.
GCCUGGGUGGCUCAGUCGGUUAAGCGUCCGACUUCAGCUCGGUUCAUGAUCUCGCGGUCCGUGAGUUCGAGCCCCAUGUCGGGCU